CCUACGGGAGGCAGCAGUCGAGAAUCAUUCACAAUGGGGGAAACCCUGAUGGGGCGACGCCGCGUGGGGGAAUGAAGGUCUGCGGAUUGUAAACCCCUGUCAUGUGGGAGCAAAUUAAAAAGAUAGUACCACAAGAGGAAGAGACGGCUAACUCUGUGCCAGCAGCCGCGGUAAUACAGAGGGCUCAAGCGUUGUUCGGAAUCACUGGGCGUACCGCGUGCGUAGGCGGUUUCGUAAGUCGUGUGUGAAAGGCGCGGGCUCAACCCGCGGACGGCACAUGAUACUGCGAGACUAGAGUAGUGGAGUGGGAACCGGAAUUCUCGGUGUAGCCGU
rnacentral:rRNA from 1 species